rnacentral:sRNA from 12 species
CCUUCGGAGUGUCAAACAAACAGGAGUAGGAAUAUCCGAAACUGGGCACGAUGAACAAGGAA